GAAACCGUGUACGUACAAGCAGUAGGAGCACCUUCGUGGUGUGACUGCGUACCUUUUGUAUAAUGGGUCAGCGACUUAUAUUCAGUGGCAAGGUUAACCGUAUAGGGGAGCCGUAGCGAAAGCGAGUCUUAACUGGGCGCUCAGUCUCUGGAUAUAGACCCGAAACCGGGUGAUCUAGCCAUGGGCAGGUUGAAGGUUGAGUAACAUCAACUGGAGGACCGAACCGACUAAUGUUGAAAAAUUAGCGGAUGACUUGUGGCUAGGGGUGAAAGGCCAAUCAAACUCGGAGAUAGCUGGUUCUCCCCGAAAGC
rnacentral:rRNA from 1 species